UACGGAGGGCGCUAGCGUUGUUCGGAAAUACUGGGCGUAAAGCGCACGUAGGCGGCGCAGCAAGUCAGGGGUGAAAUCCCGGGGCUCAACCCCGGAACUGCCCUUGAAACUGCAGUGCUAGAAUCUUGGAGAGGCGAGUGGAAUUCCGAGUGUAGAGGUGAAAUUCGUAGAUAUUCGGAAGAACACCAGUGGCGAAGGCGACUCGCUGGACAAGUAUUGACGCUGAGGUGCGAAAGCGUGGGGAGCAAACAGG
rnacentral:rRNA from 1 species